rnacentral:rRNA from 1 species
GUCGGAUUAGCUAGUUGGUGGGGUAAAGGCCUACCAAGGCGACGAUCCGUAACUGGUCUGAGAGGAUGAUCAGUCACACUGGAACUGAGACACGGUCCAGACUCCUACGGGAGGCAGCAGUGGGGAAUAUUGGACAAUGGGCGAAAGCCUGAUCCAGCCAUGCCGCGUGUGUGAAGAAGGUCUUCGGAUUGUAAAGCACUUUAAGUUGGGAGGAAGGGCAGUAAGUUAAUACCUUGCUGUUUUGACGUUACCAACAGAAUAAGCACCGGCUAACUUCGUGCCAGCAGCCGCGGUAAUACGAAGGGUGCAAGCGUUAAUCGGAAUUACUGGGCGUAAAGCGCGCGUAGGUGGUUCAGCAAGUUGGAUGUGAAAUCCCCGGGCUCAACCUGGGAACUGCAUCCAAAACUACUGAGCUAAAGUACGGUAAAGGGG